GCAGACACAUUCCAGCCAAUCAGCAGCAGACCCUCCCUCCCAGACCCUCCCACCUCCUGGACAGUUCACUAAGAAUGCAGCUUCACAAUGAAUGUAAAAUGGAUGCUGUCCAGGAGGAGGGAGGGUCUGGGAGGGAGGGUCUGCUGCUGAUUGGCUGGAAUGUGUCUG